AACGCGAAGAACCUUACCAGGUCUUGACAUCCCGUUGACCACUGUAGAGAUAUGGUUUUCCCUUCGGGGACAACGGUGACAGGUGGUGCAUGGUUGUCGUCAGCUCGUGUCGUGAGAUGUUGGGUUAAGUCCCGCAACGAGCGCAACCCUUGAUCUUAGUUGCCAUCAUUUAGUUGGGCACUCUAAGGUGACUGCCGGUGACAAACCGGAGGAAGGUGGGGAUGACGUCAAAUCAUCAUGCCCCUUAUGACCUGGGCUACACACGUGCUACAAUGGACGAUACAAACGGUUGCCAACUCGCGAGAGGGAGCUAAUCCGAUAAAGUCGUUCUCAGUUCGGAUUGUAGGCUGCAACUCGCCUACAUGAAGCCGGAAUCGCUAGUAAUCGCGGAUCAGCAUGCCGCGGUGAAUACGUUCCCGGGCCUUGUA
rnacentral:rRNA from 1 species